GAACCUAAGAAAACAAGAGUCAGGAAAUGAAGCCUUCUGAUUUUAAUUACCUAGACUGUUACCUUCCAUCUGCUGCUGCUUUUCCUCCCUGAAAUGAAGCAGUUUGACAUAAUUUAGUUUAUCCAAGCACAAUGACAUGAAAACUUAGGUUUUGUUUUUUAUUACUUGACUUGUGACUACUGAGCUUUUGUUACCUGAAGCAGGUUAAUAUUGUUAUUGGUGAGUCUUACAACUGAACUUGAGUGUGAUACUCAAUGGAUUAAAAUGUGGUCAAAUAAUGUAGUUAACCAAACAUGCUGAAGUUUUCCUUGCUGACUAUGGUGCAGGAAACAUAGCUAAUGGCAAUGCUAAAAUGCAGAUACAGGUGGCAUUUCCCAUCUGGCAUUCUUGGAAUUGGGAAGGAAAAAAAAUUACAAAUCCAUUGUAUUACAAAGUGUUAGAGCAACACAAACCCAGAUAUUCAACCACCCUUCAGUGAGAUCCUUGAUAUGCACAAAAUUCCUAGUAAAAAUUGAAAAGAAAGAGGGAGGAGAAUGCCAGCACAAGAACAGAGGAAUAACUAUCUUGUUUCACCACAGCAAAAAAUAGAGCUUUAUUGAUCUAACACCUUUUCCCUAAAUUCUCUUCUAACAUAAACAGAAUUAUCCACAAAAUCAACAGCUUUAUCUGCAGGUGACUCUCAGAAUGACUGCGUAAAACCCCCUUUUCUUUUCUUGAUUCAACAUCAGAAAUUGUGAACACAGUCACAAAUCCUGCAGCAACACUGCCUAACCAAAAGCAUUGCUUUCUGAAGGCUUAUUUAUAAUCUGCACAUAGAUUUCAGCACCAAGCAGAUGGCAUCCUGUACAACCAUACUGCCACUGUCAUGCACUGCUCUGUAUAUUGAAGACUUUUACGGAAUUAUUUUUCAGAAUCUACUCAAUGAGUAUCUUGAAAAAGGCUCUUUUAGAAGAGCUAAGCUGCAAUACUAGGUUAAUAACUUUAUUUCAAAAAUCUGUGUGAAACAUUUUAAUAGACUUAGGGCACAGACUGUCAUAGGCUGUGUACUUUAAAAAAGCUCACAGAUAGAUAGUAGCCAAAAGCUUAGAGGUCCUGGCCAAGGACUCACCCUGGGCUAAACACACAACCUUUUAAAAUUACUACACAAAGAGGCUCGUAAGUAUCCUUCCUGACUUCAGCUGUACACUGAAUUUCCUAUUUGAUAAAUACGAGGGCAGGCUUUGCAUUUCUUUGAAGAGAUGGGAAUUAAAUCCCAGUAUGGUGGGAAAAAGCCAUUUCAGUCUGCCACUGGAGUCAUUUAUGGAGAACUGCCAACCUACCACUUGAAGGCAGACAGCAUUUGAAGGACAUCUCUUGAAGAUUGACAAAAGGGUUUUAAUCAGGAGCUCCUAGAGAUUUCUCUUGAGCUUGGGGAAAAGUUAGUUUACUGAUCUGUGACUCCGUUUCAUCAUUUCUGAAAUAGCGUCCUUUCUCAGGAUAGACAUUGAAACUCCUAAUGUGCCUAUGACUGUACCCAAAGAAAAAAUGUUCAGAAGAUCUGAGCUAAAGCUUAGGCAUUUUAUGCUGAAUCACCUGCAUGCUGCAAGCUCAAGCCACUUUUAAGGAAAAGAUGAAAGAGCAUGCUUUGAUGCACCACUUCAGGACCUCAUUGAUUCUUUCCUGUGAAGGGAAUAAAGCAAGCUUUCCACAAGCCAUUCCAACCAACAUAUGCAAGAUGCUGGCUGUUGCCCACAUUGCAAAAGUAUUGUUAGACCUGCUUUUACUUAACACCUAAAAAGAGCUAAAUUAAAAAGGAUAUGGCAAAUGACUUAACAUUCUGCUGACUUCUUUCAAAGUUGUUAAGUAAAAAAAUUUAUGACUACUGAUAACUGCUGAGGUCACUGCAAUCUCACCAGCAGAUCAGAAACAAGGGAAGCGCCAACCUUUUCUGGAGUUAAUUUCAUAAGUUCCAUGUUCUCCAUACUGUGACGGCGUCCUACUCUUGGUCUGGUACCUUCGAGAAAGAAUCAAGUUCAUCUUUGCAUCAUUAAGAUUUAUAGUGUCACCUUCAAAGCUGUGGCUGUACUCAUCUAUGGUGCAGGAUACAGCAAUUCUGAGUUCCAAAACAAUGCAGGUAAAUAUAUCAGCAGAGAAUAAAUAACCACUAAUAAAAGCAGCUUUCAGAACCA